rnacentral:rRNA from 1 species
UACGGAGGGGACUAGCGUUGUUCGGAAUUACUGGGCGUAAAGCGCGCGUAGGCGGGCUGGUCAGUUGGGGGGUGAAAAUUCCCGAGGCUUAACCUCGGAACUGCCUUCAAUACUGCCAGUCUUGAGUUCGGAAGAGGUGAGUGGAAUUCCUAGUGUAGAGGUGAAAAUUCAUAGAUAUUAGGAAGAACACCAGUGGCGAAGGCGGCUCACUGGUCCGAUACUGACGCUGAGGUGCGAAAGCGUGGGGGAGCGAACAGGAUUAGAUACCCCGGUGUC